rnacentral:tRNA from 1 species
UCCUAGCUCAGUCGGUGAAGUAUCUGCCUGCAAUGCAGGAGACCCAGGUUCUAUUCCUGGAUCAGGAA